rnacentral:rRNA from 1 species
UACGUAGGGACCAAGCGUUGUUCGGAUUUACUGGGCGUAAAGGGCGCGUAGGCGGCGCGGUAAGUCACUUGUGAAAUCUCUGAGCUUAACUCAGAACGGCCAAGUGAUACUGCAGUGCUAGAGUGUGGAAGGGGCAAUCGGAAUUCUUGGUGUAGCGGUGAAAUGCGUAGAUAUCAAGAGGAACACCUGAGGUGAAGACGGGUUGCUGGGCCAACACGUGACGCUGAUGCGCGAAAGCCCAGGGGAGCAAACGGG